rnacentral:rRNA from 1 species
AUACGGAUGGUGCAAGCGUUGUUCGGAAUCACUGGGCGUAAAGGGCGCGCAGGCGGUUUGGUAAGUCAGAUGUGAAAGCCCACGGCUCAACCGUGGAAGUGCAUUUGAAACUGCCAGACUUGAGUACCAGAGGGGAAAGUGGAAUUCCCGGUGUAGAGGUGAAAUUCGUAGAUAUCGGGAGGAAUACCGGUGGCGAAGGCGACUUUCUGGCUGGAUUCUGACGCUGAGGCGCGAAAGCGUGGGGAGCAAACAGGAUUAGAAACCCUAGUAGUCC